rnacentral:pre_miRNA from 1 species
UGACUAUUCGUCUUAUUUAAAAUUUUUUUAUGAUUAAUAUUUUUAUUCUUACUGGAUGAUAAAAUAUAAAUAGUACUUUUUGCGUGACUAACUUUUUAUAUUUUUAUACAAAUUUUUAAAUAAAACGAAUGAUCA